rnacentral:rRNA from 1 species
GACGAACGCUGGCGGCGUGCUUAACACACGCAAGUCGAACGGAAAGGCCCUGCUUUUGUGGGGUGCUCGAGUGGCGAACGGGUGAGUAACACGUGAGUAACCUGCCCUUGACUUUGGGAUAACUUCAGGAAACUGGGGCUAAUACCGGAUAGGAGCUCCUGCUGCAUGGUGGGGGUUGGAAAGUUUCGGCGGUUGGGGAUGGACUCGCGGCUUAUCAGCUUGUUGGUGGGGUAGUGGCUUACCAAGGCUUUGACGGGUAGCCGGCCUGAGAGGGUGACCGGCCACAUUGGGACUGAGAUACGGCCCAGACUCCUACGGGAGGCAGCAGUGGGGAAUAUUGCACAAUGGGCGGAAGCCUGAUGCAGCAACGCCGCGUGCGGGAUGACGGCCUUCGGGUUGUAAACUGCUUUCGCCUGUGACGAAGCGUGAGUGACGGUAAUGGGUAAAGAAGCACCGGCUAACUACGUG